UACGGAGGGAGCUAGCGUUGUUCGGAAUUACUGGGCGUAAAGCGCACGUAGGCGGCUUUGUAAGUUAGAGGUGAAAGCCUGGAGCUCAACUCCAGAACUGCCUUUAAGACUGCAUCGCUUGAAUCCAGGAGAGGUGAGUGGAACUGCGAGUGUAGAGGUGAAAUUCGUAGAUAUUCGGAAGAACACCAGUGGCGAAGGCGACUCACUGGACACGUAUUGACGCUGAGGUGCGAAAGCGUGGGGAGCAAACAGGG
rnacentral:rRNA from 1 species